rnacentral:rRNA from 1 species
AUGGACGAUAACGCUCCAGGCAGUGAAUUGGCUUUCAAUCUAUCAAACCAUGCCAUGAUCGAGGUCCAAAGCCCUGCCCGUCAGAGGCCUCACGGUUUACAUAGCAACAGCAAUGGGAGCCCUGUUGGGGCAGUUGCUUGCUUGUUGCCGAACCCAGUUGCAAUGGAGGUUGAUAAACCUGACUGCGAUGUCCCAGAAAUGUUACCCGUGAUGCCAAACCAAGGAGGAAUGGAAGAGUUUGUCGAGCAUCCGUCUUUCAGGAUGCAAGACCAGGUACAACCGUUGCAGGUUGACAGUCCUACCCCGCCAUUGGCCCAUGCGGUGCCAGACCAUGCUAUGGUGCAAGUUGGGAGCCCUGGCCUCGGCAUGGUGUCUGGGUUGCAGCAUCAGGUGGGGUUUGAUAGCCCGGUCCAGCAGAUCAUUCCUACGUCUCCAAGGAUGGUUUCCACCCCAAGUCCAGUGCGCGAGAUCACAAGGCGUGUGCAUCAAAUGGGGUGCCCAUCAGGAACUGUGGGGGUCCAAGCAUCACCAACCAUGGAGUGCAUGAUGCCAGCAGACCCUCUUGUUACUGCAAAUGCAUCAAGGGCAACCGCGAGCCGUCAGUUGUUAGCGCUGGGAGAGCUAGAGUUUGUUCAGAUUUUCAUGAUAUAUGUCUAUCUUGCAGGUAAGAAGAUAGAAGAUGUGGGUGUACUACAUGAGGACUAUAUUAGGUCCUUGAAUUCACUGCCCAUGGAUCGUUUUGAGUUGGAAAUAUGGAACAAAUUUGGUCACAAGUUUCUAGCAGAGUGUGACAGGAGACAGAAUCUUGAUUGGGACCCAAGCAAGACAAGAGUGUACCAUUGCCAUAUCGAGCAAAGAGGCGAUUCCAUAGUUACGGUUUUCAAGGGGCCAUAUAUAGAGAACACAAGGACUAGUCUACAGAAAGUUGUUGGGGACGACAAUGUUCUUGUUGUGAACUUUUCAGAUAUAUCUAGGCACACCAAUGCUGGUGAUAACUUCGAAACCGGCUGUCACUUUUACCAUCACGUUUUUGAAGAUGGCAUCAUCUUGGGUUUGCGUCGCUAUCGCUUUUUGAUUCACAAAGAUGGAGGGAGGGAGAGGAGAAUAAAAGCGGAAAAAAAUAAAGAGAGAAACAAGAAAUGCACUUCUUCUGUUAGGUGCUACUUUGUUCGCACCGAGUGUGACUGGGACAAGGGUGUGCCUUAUAUCCUCUCCAACAGAACAAUUGGUGAUGCCCGCAAGCUUUUUAUGCACGUACACACUGUCCCCAGUGUGGCAAAAUAUGUGGCCAGGUUUGGUUUGGUAUUGUCCAAAACUAUUACACUACUCGAUGGUGAAGACCUAUCAAAAAUUGACGUUGUAAUUGUUGAUGAUGUACCUUGCAAGGAUAAAUACGGAAACAUUGUUCUCAAGCAUAGGGAGGCUUUGAUCCACACUGACGGGACUGGCCUAAUAUCAGAAGAUUUAGCUAAGAAAUGCCCUACAUAUGUAUUUAAGGGGAACCUUUUGAGGAUACAUGAUCCUCUUCUUAUGCAGGUCCGUAUGUUCUAUAAUGGACUUGCUGUAAAGGGAACCCUUCUUGUUGUUAGAAAGCUUCCUGAAAGGACUAUCCAUGUACGACCAUCAAUGAUAAAAGUAAACUCAGAUCCUAGUUUAUCAGGUGGGCACUCCUUCAACUCACUGGAAAUUGUUUCAACGAGCAACCGACCCAAAAGGGCAUUGACAUCAAGGUUUUUAAUCACGCUGCUUCAAUAUGGAGGGGUUCCAGCGGAUUGUUUUAUGGAGCUCCUAGGGAAGGCACUAAAAGAUGUUGAGAAAGCUCGCCAUAAAACUAGAGAUUCCCUUGAAGUUGCAUUUAACCACGGUGACAUGGAUGAUUUAAUGUCUGCACGGAUGAUCCUUUCUGGAAUUCGACCAGAAGAUGAGGCAUACUUACAGGACCAGCUUACUACAAUGACCAAAGAGGAAAGAGAAGGAUUCAAACAAGGCAGGCUCCCUGUCAAUCAGUGUUAUUAUCUGAUGGGCACAACAGAUCCUACAGGGACACUAAAGCCCCAUGAAGUCUGUGUGAUAUUGGACCAUGGCCCCAUUUCUGGAGAGGUUCUUGUCUACAGACAUCCUGGGCUGCAUUUUGGUGAUAUACAUGUCUUGACAGCUACAUAUAGUGAGGCUAUACAGGAUUUCGUGGGAGAUUCCAAGUAUGCUAUUCUUUUUCCUGUUUCUGGACCACGAUCUCUAGCUGAUGAGAUGGCAGGUGGUGAUUUUGAUGGUGAUAUGUACUGGGUCUCGAGAAACCCACAGUUACUGAAGUACUUCAAACCAUCGGAACCAUGGGAUCCAAGAAGCCCUCCAAGGAAGGCUAAACAAGAGAAGCCUCAGGAUUAUGAUGAAUCCAAGCUAGAACACAUUUUAUUCCGUGAAUUUUUUAGAACUAGGUUUACACCGAGUUAUGUGCUGGGUGCAGCUGCAGAUUGUUGGCUGGUAUAUAUGGAUCGGCUACUGACAUGUGAAGUUCAAGAAGACAAAAAAGAAUGGGAGUCGAUAAAGGCUAAGAUGCUUGAAUUGGUUGACAUUUACUAUGAGGCUCUGGAUGCCCCGAAAAGUGGGAACAAGAUCACUAUGCCUCGUCAUCUGAAGGUUGAAGUAUAUCCGCACUUUAUGGAAGGGAAAGGGUUUACACCUCCCUACAUUUCCACAUCAGUGCUGGGCAAAAUCUAUGAUUUAGCAAAGUCGCAUCAGCCUGAAGCAGUUCACCCAAUCAAUAUAACUCCACUGACAUGCUUCACCGAGGAAGUAGUAGCCGAAGAACUCAACACGUGGGGUCUCCGUUACGACGAGUAUCGGAGAGCGAGCACAUUGCUAUUGGACAGUAAUCGCCCAAUCUCUAAAGAAGAGAAGAAGGCGAGGUUCCGGGAGCUGGACCAAAAAUACAAGCAGAUGCUGUACGACGCGGCGGAGCUGGAAGAGAGCCAGAAGCACCCGUUCGCCGUCUACAGGGAGGCCUGCGCGAUCUACCAGCUGGUGUACGAGCACGCGGCGCGGUGCCGGAGCGACGACGAAGGGAGGCGUGUCGAGAGGUGCGGCUUCGUGUGGAGGGUCGCCGGCCGCGCGCUGUGCGAGUUCUACGUGAUCAAGCGCCGCGGCGACAGGGUGGUCGCCGACAUGCAGGUCCUCCGCGACGCCUUCAGGAAGGAUCGCGGUGCGUAG